UACGUAGGGUGCGAGCGUUGUCCGGAAUUAUUGGGCGUAAAGGGCUCGUAGGCGGUCUGUCACGUCGGGAGUGAAAACUCGGGGCUCAACCCCGAGCCUGCUUCCGAUACGGGCAGACUAGAGGUAUGCAGGGGAGAAUGGAAUUCCUGGUGUAGCGGUGAAAUGCGCAGAUAUCAGGAGGAACACCGGUGGCGAAGGCGGCAUCCUGGACCGAUAUUGACGCUGAUGCGCGAAAGCCAGGGGAGCAAACGGG
rnacentral:rRNA from 1 species